rnacentral:tRNA from 1 species
GGUGUCGUGGUGUAGUUGGUUAUCACGUCAGUCUAACACACUGCAGGUCUCCGGUUCGAACCCGGGCGACGCCA